GACAGAGGCCUCAAGCGUUAGGCGGAAUCACUGGGCUUAAAGGGUGCGUAGGCGGCGCGGGAAGUCGGGGGUGAAAUCCCGAGGCUCAACCUCGGAACUGCCUUCGAUACUGCGGGUCUCGAGUCCGGGAGAGGUGAGUGGAAUUCCUAGUGUAGAGGUGAAAUUCGUAGAUAUUAGGAAGAACACCAGUGGCGAAGGCGGCUCACUGGCCCGGUACUGACGCUGAGGCGCGAAAGCGUGGGGAGCAAACAGG
rnacentral:rRNA from 1 species